GAGCUCUGAGAGGAAGAUGUGGUGAACGGAGGAGGCAGAGGGGGCAGAAUCUUUAAAGAAUGACUGAAAAUGAAGUGAAUUUUUUUAUAAAAGAGAGACUUGAGAUGAAGAGAGAAACAUUCAGAGCUUCAGACGCCUGCAGAGAAGAUGGCGAUGAAGAUGAGCUGUGUGUGUUUGGUGCUGGGGCUGGUCCUGCUGAUGACUGUCUCCUCAGAUGCUUGCAUGUUUAGCCCUUGCCGUUAUCAGUGCUGUUUCGACUUCGUCCGUUUAAUUCCAGAACAAAAUAUCAUACGUGUUGUAAAAACACAUCCCGCUGCCCAGCGCCUGGCUUUAUCUUUACCACAACUAAGGGCAGGCACUGCAUGAAAGACCUAUUUUCCUUUAUACGGCCAAGGAAACCUUGGCCACCUGUGACUUCCAGGGCUACAACACUUCGAGGCA